AUUGAACGCUGGCGGCAUGCCUUACACAUGCAAGUCGAACGAAUCGCGGACGUGAGAGUAAUGUCCGGGCAACUGCCUGAUGGAGGGGGAUAACUACUGGUAGCGAUUGCUAAAACCGCCCACCACCGCAUGUGCCCAGAUGGGAUUUGCGAGUGGGUGGGGUAAAGGCUCACGUCGGCGACGAUCCCUAGCUGGUUUGAGAGGAUGACCAGGCACACGGGAACUGAGACACGGUCCAGACUCCUACGGGAGGCAGCAGUGGGGAAUAUUGGACAAUGGGGGCAAUCCUGAUGCAGCCAUGCCGCGUGUGUGAAGAAGGCCUUCGGGUUGUAAAGUACUUUCAGCGGGGAGGCGUUACCCGCAGAAGAAGCACCGGCUAACUCCGUGCCAGCAGCCGCGGUAAUAC
rnacentral:rRNA from 1 species